rnacentral:rRNA from 1 species
AAAUGACUCUCGGCAACGGAUAUCUCGGCUCUCGCAUCGAUGAAGAACGUAGCGAAAUGCGAUACUUGGUGUGAAUUGCAGAAUCCCGUGAACCAUCGAGUUUUUGAACGCAAGUUGCGCCCGAAGCCAUUANGCUGAGGGCACGUCCGCCUGGGUGU